rnacentral:rRNA from 1 species
UGGGGAAUAUUGCACAAUGGGGGGAAACCCUGAUGCAGCGACGCCGCGUGGAGGAAGAAGGUCUUCGGAUUGUAAACUCCUGUUGUUGAGGAAGAUAAUGACGGUACUCAACAAGGAAGUGACGGCUAACUACGUGCCAGCAGCCGCGGUAAAACGUAGGUCACAAGCGUUGUCCGGAAUUACUGGGUGUAAAGGGAGCGCAGGCGGGAAGACAAGUUGGAAGUGAAAUCUAUGGGCUCAACCCAUAAACUGCUUUCAAAACUGUUUUUCUUGAGUAGUGCAGAGGUAGGCGGAAUUCCCGGUGUAGCGGUGGAAUGCGUAGAUAUUCGGAGGAACACCGUGG